CAAUAUCAAUGUUAAAUGUUAUCUCUUUAAGUGCAUAAUAUUUACUCGAUACAUUUAAAGUUACUUUAAACAUUAAUCUAAACACAAUGAUAUUUCCAAAAAUUUUGAUAUUUGUUCUCUUAGCUAUUGUUGGGAUUCGAGCUUCUCCUUUAUAUGAAAGCACCAGAUUUAUUGAAAGAAAAAGUCCAAAAAUCACUUGUCCCGAUUACUACGUUUUUGAUAAAAAUUGUGGUUGUUGCGUAGAAGGGUGGAUUUCCGCGUCGAUUCAAUAAAUAUGUUUUUAAUAUGGCA